GAAAUACUCCCUCCGUUCGGAAUUACUUGUCGCAGAAAUGGAUGUAUCUAGACGUAUUUUAGUUCUAGAUACAUCCAUUUCCGAGACAAGUAAUUCCGAACGGAGAGAGUACUUA
rnacentral:pre_miRNA from 1 species